AGUGAACGCUGGCGGUAGGCCUAACACAUGCAAGUCGAACGGCAGCACAGUAAGAGCUUGCUCUUACGGGUGGCGAGUGGCGGACGGGUGAGGGAUACAUCGGAAUCUACUUUUUCGUGGGGGAUAACGUAGGGAAACUUACGCUAAUACCGCAUACGACCUACGGGUGAAAGCAGGGGAUCUUCGGACCUUGCGCGAUUGAAUGAGCCGAUGUCGGAUUAGCUAGUUGGCGGGGUAAAGGCCCACCAAGGCGACGAUCCGUAGCUGGUCUGAGAGGAUGAUCAGCCACACUGGAACUGAGACACGGUCCAGACUCCUACGGGAGGCAGCAGUGGGGAAUAUUGGACAAUGGGCGCAAGCCUGAUGCAGCCAUACCGCGUGGGUGAAGAAGGCCUUCGGGUUGUAAAGCCCUUUUGUUGGGAAAGAAAAGCAGCAGGUUAAUACCCCGCUGUUCUGACGGUACCCAAAGAAUAAGCACCGGCUAACUUCGUG
rnacentral:rRNA from 1 species